ACUGGCUCCAAAUAUCUAUAACUCCAUAUUGAAGGAGUUCAGGCCUGGUUUGUACACGCAUGGGGAACCUCCAAGGAAAACCAGUGGUGCUAGAA
rnacentral:rRNA from 1 species